UACGAAGGGGGCUAGCGUUGCUCGGAAUCACUGGGCGUAAAGGGUGCGUAGGCGGGUCUUUAAGUCAGGGGUGAAAUCCUGGAGCUCAACUCCAGAACUGCCUUUGAUACUGGCGAUCUCGAGUCCGGGAGAGGUGAGUGGAACUGCGAGUGUAGAGGUGAAAUUCGUAGAUAUUCGCAAGAACACCAGGGGCGAAGGCGGCUCACUGGCCCGGUACUGACGCUGAGGUGCGAAAGCGUGGGGAGCAAACAGG
rnacentral:rRNA from 1 species